rnacentral:rRNA from 1 species
CCUACGGGAGGCAGCAGUCGGGAAUAUUGCACAAUGGGGGAAACCCUGAUGCAGCGACGCCGCGUGGAGGAAGAAGGUUUUAGGGUUGUAAACUCCUUUUGUUCGGGACGAUAAUGACAAUAUCUCUACCAUAAGCACAAGCCAACUCCGUCCCAGCAACCGCGGGAAUACGGAGGGUGCAAGCGUUAGUCGGUAGCGCUGGGGGUAGAGUGUGCGCAGGCGGGUGUGUAAGUCUGAUGUGAAAUCCUGUGGCUUAACUAGAGAACUGCAGGUGAAACUAGGCGUCUAGAGUGUGGGAGAGGUAGGUGGAAUUCUUGGUGUAGGGGUAAAAUCCGUAGAUAUCAAGAGGAAUACU